rnacentral:misc_RNA from 1 species
AUAAGCCUCUUGGAAAUUUGAAACUAGUGGACCUCAGCGGCUCUAGGAACUUGAUUAGGAUUCCAGACUUGUCUAGUACCACAAAUCUUCAGUUUUUAUAUUUGAGGAAAUGUGAAAGUUUGGUUGAGAAUCCUUCAUCUCUUCAAAAUUUGAGCAAGCUUGCUGAACUAGAACUAGAUGGAAAUGGAAUAGAGCAACUGCCCUCAUCAAUUAAGCAU